rnacentral:rRNA from 1 species
GAGUUUGAUCAUGGCUCAGAACGAACGCUGGCGGCAUGCCUAACACAUGCAAGUCGAACGAGACCUUCGGGUCUAGUGGCGCACGGGUGCGUAACGCGUGGGAAUCUGCCCUUGGGUACGGAAUAACAGUGAGAAAUUACUGCUAAUACCGUAUGAUGUCUUCGGACCAAAGAUUUAUCGCCCAGGGAUGAGCCCGCGUUGGAUUAGCUAGUUGGUGGGGUAAAGGCCUACCAAGGCGACGAUCCAUAGCUGGUCUGAGAGGAUGAUCAGCCACACUGGGACUGAGACACGGCCCAGACUCCUACGGGAGGCAGCAGUGGGGAAUAUUGGACAAUGGGCGAAAGCCUGAUCCAGCAAUGCCGCGUGAGUGAAGAAGACCUUAGGGUUGUAAAGCUCUUUUACCCGGGAAGAUAAUGACUGUACCGGGAGAAUAAGCCCCGGCUAACUCCGUGCCAGCAGCCGCGGUAAUACG